UAUGAUGGAGGCUCUAGGAAAAUGUUCAUGUUGUCUAGAAAUUACAAUUUCGAUAGAAUGAUAGAGCAAAUGUACAGAGUUACCAUAAUUAAUCAUGCCGAAAAUGUCAUUAAGGUCUUUUGUAAUUGUCCAAUAAAUAAAAAAAGAACAAUUGCGGUAGAGAUCACCACUGAUGAAGAAUUGAAUGACAUGAUACAACUUAUGGAUAAACAAAUCGCAAUUGAGUUGUUCAUUGAAAAUAUUCCGAAGUCUGGGGUUGUCGAAGUUUCGUAUGCUCACGGAGAGUUCUCUCGCAUGCUUAAAAGUCAAAUCUCGUUAUCUCAAUGCGUUAAUGGAUAGAUGAAGGCCCGAGACUAACACUUUUCAUCUACGUGUUGGGAAGGCAACUAUUACUCUUCAGGAUGUAGCAGUGAUCCUAGGACUCCGCAUUGAUGGUCCUUGUGUCACGGGGACAGAUAGGCAUGUUUGGCGGGAUGUAUGUGACAAUUUGUUAGGACUAUCACCGGAGUCCUUGCCUGGAGGGUAUAUUAGAUUGAAAUGGCUAAAAGAGAAUUUUGCUAACUCAUUGCUACACGAUGCAUCAGAAGUCAUGAUCCAACAACAUGCUAGAGCAUAUAUUUUGCACAUGAUCGGGACGGUUCUUUUUCCCGAUUCAAGUAAACAUAAAGUGCAUUUGAGGUGGUUACCACUUCUCGAAGACUUUGACGUGUGUGGGACAUUAUCCUGGGGUAGUGCUGUUUUAGCAUAUCUAUAUCGAGAAAUGUCAAAGGUUGCUUUAAUGCAAAAUAAAGAGCUCAAAGGCUGUUUGACAUUGUUACAAGUUUAGGCAUGGGAGAGACUGGUUUUGAAACCGCGAUUAUGCGCGAUCCGAGAGUUGGAUGGACAGAUUCCACUAGGCUGCAGAUGGAAUAUCACUAAAGCCUAUAAUGAGGUCCCGGCUAGACAGUUAGACUUUUACAGAGGGGAGCUCGACCGAAUGAAAAUUUUUCAGGUAUGAAUUUGAAUUACAAUCGUUUAAAGCUAUCGAUAUAUUUCAAAUAACAGUUAAUAUAUGGAUUAUUUUACAGUUCGAGUGGCAGCCAUACGCACCUUACCUACAUCGUCUACCGCUGAUUUGUAUGGAGGGACACGACAUAUGGCGGUCCAGAGUUCCUCUCAUUUGUUUCGAAAUUGUGGAGAUGCACGUACCCGAUCGUGUGUUUAGACAGUUUGGACUCACACAGCAUGCUCCACAAUUGGUCGAACAAAUAGAGAGAAAGGCGUCUAAAGGUGGACAUCAGAUUAACUGGCAGCGCAUGCAUCAAUCAUACAUAGCUCGGUGGAAUGAUCGGCAUCAACUUAUUGUCGAUCCGUUUUAUCCUCCGAUGCAGGAAGUCGAUUACAUAAGAUGGUAUUGGGGGGUUACCCGACGUUGGAUAAUCACCCAAAUUGCGCCCCCAGUCGACGAAAUCGAGAUUCACAACCAACA